rnacentral:rRNA from 1 species
UGCAAUAGUAAGUGGCGAGAGAGACAUUACCGAGUGCGGGCCCUCGCGGCCCAACCUCCCACCCUUGUCUCUAUACACCUGUUGCUUUGGCGGGCCCACCGGGGCCACCUGGUCGCCGGGGGACGCACGUCUCCGGGCCCGCGCCCGCCGAAGCGCUCUGUGAACCCUGAUGAAGAUGGGCUGUCUGAGUACUGUGAAAAUUGUCAAAACUUUCAACAAUGGAUCUCUUGGUUCCGGCAUCGAUGAAGAACGCAGCGAAAUGCGAUAAGUAAUGUGAAUUGCAGAAUUCCGUGAAUCAUCGAAUCUUUGAACGCACAUUGCGCCCCCUGGCAUUCCGGGGGGCAUGCCUGUCCGAGCGUCAUUUCUGCCCUCAAGCACGGCUUGUGUGUUGGGUGUGGUCCCCCCGGGGACCUGCCCGAAAGGCAGCGGCGACGUCCGUCUGGUCCUCGAGCGUAUGGGGCUCUGUCACUCGCUCGGGAAGGACCUGCGGGGGUUGGUCACCACCAUGUUUUACCACGGUUGACCUCGGAUCAGGUAGGAGUUACCCGCUGAACUUAAGCAUAUCAAA